GAGGUUGUGGCUUAGCGGUAGAGCACUCACCUGGCAUAUGUGGGGCACUGGGUUUGAUCCUCAGCACCACA
rnacentral:tRNA from 1 species